rnacentral:sRNA from 2 species
GGUCCAACCUCCCGGUUACAUACUCCGCUGAACUGUUGAUCAUGAAAAAAUUGCCCCGCCACCCGGCCACUGGCAAUAGUAAUCAGGGCACUCACUGUUCAGCGCCAGCUGGUAGCAGAGGGAAAUCCCUCCAACAGCUUGCCUUUGAUAUAUCCCACGUGACAUCAUAAUUUUUAAACGUCAUCAUCAUUUACCUCUUCACAAGUCCAUACAUAGCACUGGGUACGAGAUGGGAAAUGAUCAAUGGUCUUGCUGAUUUUCUUCACUGGGGAUCGUCUUUACAUUGCAGCCGUCAAUACUGCCAUCGGAAUAAUUGGAUUUAGGUGAAUUGAUGCAGAUCGAAGAAACUCACACCCUGCAAUAUGUGCGAUGCUUUGCGGAAGUGUUAUCAAAGCAGCUUUGAAUCGAAAGAUCCUCAUGCAAGAGUCUUUUGACAAAAUGUUGACUCUGCGGAAUUCUGCAAAAUUCCUUGAGAAAAAUUGGCCAGCUAGGAGGCCGUUUUUCCUACUGGUGAGAGUUCGGAGCGUGGAAUGAAUGCAGAAAUAAAAUAAAAUAAAAUG